rnacentral:rRNA from 1 species
UACAGGGGGGCAAGCGUUGUUCGGAAUUACUGGGCGUAAAGGGUCUGUAGGUGGCCAACUAAGUCAGACGUGAAAUCCCUCAGCUUAACUGGGAACUGCGUCUGAUACUGGAUGGCUUGAGUGUGGAGAGGAAUGCGGAAUUCCAGGUGUAGCGGUGAAAUGCGUAGAUAUCUGGAGGAACACCGGUGGCGAAGGCGGCAUCCUGGACCGAUACUGACGCUGAGGAGCGAAAG